AUACUUACCUGACAGGGGAGAUACCAUGAUCACAAAGGUGGUUUUCCCAGUGUGAGGCUCACCAUCGCACCCCAGAGGUGCAGACCCUUGUGUUUUCCCCAAAUGAAAAAAAUAAAAGAAAGAAAAGUUUGUCCUCCAUUGGAUCGACUCCAUU
ensembl:snRNA U1 U1 spliceosomal RNA